rnacentral:tRNA from 1 species
GCCCUUGUAGUUUAAUGGAUAGAACACCUCACUCCUAACGAGGCAAUGGCGGUUCGAUUCCGCCCGAGGGCA